AAAAUGGCCGCCAGCCGAUGUUUUGGAUGUUUUCUCAACUAGACGAGUAUGAAAGGGAAUACAGUGUUAGAUAUCAUCGAGGAUAUGUGACCAAAGGGUUUCAGAAGUCUUGAGAGAUGUAUGUAGAUCAAACCCAUCAAGUAAGCCAACACCAUGUCUACAAGGUCAUACCUCUAGAACCUCUCACACCUCUACAGCUGAGGACAAAUCUGAAAGUGGACAGAGGGAUAGUAUGAAUGCUUCAGUUGAAAUUAGG